rnacentral:rRNA from 1 species
ACGAACGCUGGCGGCGUGCUUAACACAUGCAAGUCAAGGGGGCCCGCAAGGGCAACCGGCGAACGGGUGCGUAACACGUGAGCAAGCUUCCGAUUUGUGGGGGAUAGCCGGCCCAACGGCCGGGUAAUACCGCAUACGUUCACUGGACGGCAUCGUCUGGUGAGGAAACCUCCGGGGCAAAUCGAGGCGCUCGCGGCCUAUCAGCUAGUUGGCGGGGUAAUGGCCCACCAAGGCUACGACGGGUAGCUGGUCUGAGAGGAUGGCCAGCCACAUUGGGACUGCGACACGGCCCAGACUCCUACGGGAGGCAGCAGUGGGGAAUAUUGCGCAAUGGACGAAAGUCUGACGCAGCGACGCCGCGUGUGGGAUGAAGCCUUUCGGGGCGUAAACCACUGUUGCCCGGGACGAAACUCCUUUUUCGAGAGGAUUGACGGUACCGGGUGAGGAAGCACCGGCUAACUCUGU